CCUCGGGAUUCAAGGAUGUAUGCCCUGCCUCAGGGUCCCUUGAACAGCCCAGGUGACCGUGGUUGAGCAGAGCUCAAUUUGCUGCACGCAGGUGGCUGGGAAAUGGGGGUGACGCUCGUGGAGGAAGAGCUGGCCUUGAGCUGGGGUGGCCAAAGCCACCUCGCUGCCACUGUUCCUGCAGCCCAGGGCCAAGCCGGGGUGCUGGGUGGCAUCAGGGCGUGCUGAAGGGGGUUGAAGCAGCCUCCUGCUGGUGCAGCGUCCAAGCCUGGCACUGGCAGGGCUCUGCCCUGCCCCAGAACAGCCCCUGAGGGACCCUCUGAAGGAUCAGAACCUGGGAGACCUCCCAGAAGCUCUGCGGGCACCAGCGGUCGGCGCAGGCUCUCCUCGUCUCCGCUGGGAUGCUCGUGAGAAUCAAAGCAAAAAGGGCAGCCGUGGCACUGCCUCCGAAGCAGGCACGAAGCUAACGGAGGGAAAUGGCAACGGGUGGCACCAGGCAGCAGCACAGCAGCCAGCUUUCGAGGCACAUCAGGUGCCAUUAGUUAGCACAGCUAACGAGCUCCCCUGUGAUCCCUCCCUUCCUGCUGCUUUGCUUUCUCACCUGCUACCUGCCCCUAGUUCCAGGAUGGCCGAGAGAACAGAUAUGAACCUCCCGAGCAGAGCAAGCAGCGAUCCCCCUGAGGUUCUUUCCUCGCCUCAGCUGCUUUUCCAGCCAAGCCCGGGAGCCUGCCAGGUCUUCACAGAUCCCGAGGGCUGCUGUAGAAAUCGUUUGGGCUGGAAUAACCACGCCACUCAGAGGGACUGGUGGCCCAGGGCUGGCUGCCUCCUGCAAUCCCCCCACCUGACGGUGACGUUGGCUUUGACCUGCACCCCAGAAACACGCCACGAGGCAGCUCUGCAGUUCCCCCGUGCUGGAGCAGGGCUGUGUGCUCCAUGCCCGCUCUCAUCCUGGCCCCUGUCUCCAGCUGCCUUGCUCAGACAGAGCACCGACAUACCAGACAGCCCUGGCAGGGAGUAUUACGGGCAGGGAGGUGACGAGGCAGGAGCAUGCACAAACAGGACGAGCAUUCCCCGUUCCCACAGAGCAGUCCACAGGGAAGGCGUCGGAUCCGUGGCGCAGCCCCCUGGGGUGAAGGCAAGGCUGGCUUUGCAGAGGUGAAUCCGUGCAGGUCCAAACCAUCCCUUGCUGAGGACAGGGCAUCCAGAGGCUCAGGACCGGAGGAGCAGAGCCAGCAGCAGCACUGUAGCAUCCUCACAUCUGAGAAAAAGCUGAGCAGGAGAACAUCUCGCCAAAGAGAGGGGCUCAGCAGGAGAGUUUGCUCUGGCAGAAGGCAGCAACCACCCGAGAUGCUGCUGAAGCUGGGGCUGCCCUGCUCGGAAGACGUUUGCAUCGCCGAGACCUGGUCCCAUCCUGCCAAACACCAGGGUGGCAUCGCAAGCACCCAGGAGCCCUGUCAGCUGCCAGCUGGUUUAUCCACGCAUCUGCCCCAACCCUUUUCCUGACCGUGGCAGGUAUUCACCGUUCAGUGCAGCCUCAGGCUGGCCUGGGAAAAUGCCUAUACGGAUUGAAUACUAACCAGACAUCUCCUUAUAUACACAAGCAGGGGUGGCAGCCGGCUCCCAGCAGCACUAAUAGGUGUAGCCUUUGCCAUAAAGCUGCGGAGGGAGGCUCCCAAGGUCCGGCAGGUAAGCGGCGUUCUCAUCCAGGUGAGACAGAGGCACGGUGUCCUCCUCGCUGAUCUGCCGGUCAAAGUCUGCCUUCAGAGUCGGCCGCUGGUUAUCGGGGAAGGCCAGAGAGAACAGGGCUUCGGGCUCGCACACGAACUUGUACACGUAGCGCUCCCCAGCCACCUGCGAGGAAGAGAGGAGAAUCCUGCAGGCACUCGGGUGGCACCAGAGCAAGCUUGCAAAAUCACCUGGCAAACCCAUCAGAGCCUCACGAGAGGCUCUGCUUUGCAAACUGACCUUCUGCAUGAUGCCCUUCUCGUAGUAGUAGCGAAGGGAGCGGCUCAGCUUGUCGUAGUUCAUGGCUGGCCGGUUCUUUUGGAUCCCCCACAGCCUGGCUACCUGCAGGACAAAGCCACAAAGCGCGUGGAUGUCUGAGAGCCCAGCCCAAGGGCACAAGGCCAUUACCCAGCUGUUUGUGUUUUGAGGAGCAGGACCACGCCAAAGCACAUAGCAACCCUCCUAACAUUUCAGUAAUAGGCUCAAUAUUUGUCUAGCAGCUCUUCAAGAGGGAGAGCAGAACUCGGGCUGAAGCAGAGACAUUUUUCCUGCCAUUUUUCCUCGGUUUUGCUGCCCCCACUUCUCAUCCUCCAGCACUCUGACAGCCUGAGGAUGCUGAAGGACUGCUUCAUCCUGUGCUACGCUUCAUCUGCAAGAAUCAGAUGAGUUCACCAGGAACCCUCCUCCACUGGAAGAACAACAUGCCUCUAACUCCCACUACGCGGAGCUCAGCUUUGUCCACGAGGCCGAGGAAUCUCUUGUAAGCAGGUCAGCCCACCGAAACAGCUCAUCUGCACUGGCAAGUGCCCAAAAAGGUGAUAUGCAGCAAGAACGGGGCUACAAGCAGCUCUGAUCACAUACAAACAAUUCCAAAAGUCUCCUAGACAUCAUCAGGUGGAUUUUUUUUUUUUAAACAUGGUGGCAUUAAGAAUGACACCUUAGUUAACAUUAUUUUUGAUAUCGGAAUACCUUUAGACUAGGCCGUGGUUUCUUUCAGAUUUUCAUGAAAGCUUCCGUGAUCAGUAGGGUUCAAAACCCCAAACCUCAAUGCCAGCCUCAGGCAUGGAGCAUGAGGAGACAGCACAGAUCACUGCGAGCUGGGGACUGAAGUGUGCUGUGCGUUGGGAAGUGGAGAUGGGGUGAUUUGGCUCGCUGCACUGCCAAGACCCUAAACCUACAGCCAGCCUUUGUUCAAGCUGAUACGGGUGUCACCCAGGUGCUUGGACCUCUUCUAAAAACCUGGGCUUGCUGCGGGGUUUAGCCAGUACCCCUGGGAGGCAGGAGCCUUCGCAGGGCAGAGGAAAACCACCAGGGAAUUUGCAUGCUCAGAACCAGCAGCUGCUCCCCUGAGCCCGCGGAGAAGCUAGAAGGUUUCACCUCCUCUGGCUCAAUCAGCUUGAACUCCAUCCCUCUUCCAGUCCAGGCGAUGAAGUGGGAAUUGGUCGGAUCAUCCAGCAAAGCCACAAGAAAUUGCCAGAGCUGGAGAGAUCCCCGUCGCUGGUAGGGAGGUCCUUCCCGGUACCCUCCGACCUCCUGCUUGAUGUCUCCUGCUGAGGAGGAGAAACAACAAGCUGUUUCUAAGGGUAACAGUGUGGAGAAAAAAAAAAAAAAAGUUGCAAAGAAAGCGUAUUUCACAAAAACACACCCAGGACAUUUCAGUUCACAUAAACCAGAGCAGCAAAUUCACCGUUAGCUCUUUUAGGAGGAGCUCUGAUGCCCCUCACAAUUAAGCUACGGAUGCCAGAAUGCCUUUGCUGCUUAAAAAAAGAAAAAAAAGCACAAAAUGCCAAAAAGGCAGUAUGAACCACAGCUAACACCACCUGCAAAAACACAGCGCAAUGAACCACGUGGACAGUGGCCAAGCAGCUAGCAAGGAUGCCGAAUAACCCUGCCUUACAGCAAAACUAGAAGUUAGUCUUUCUCUGACCUUCAAAUUUUUCUGGAACCACGCAGACGUCAUCAGAGAAGGAUCUCAUCUGCUUGUCGUAGCUGCAGCCUGAAAGAGGAAAAACCCACACAGGGCAUCAGGGACAGGGACAGGGGAGCAGCAGAGAGCAGUGAGGCACAGGGCAGGGAUGACAAUCGCUGAGUUCCUCGUUUAUUCAGAUAAGCAUGUAUUCAGCAGGCUGGGUUUGCAUGACUCCUCUCCCUCAGUUACCUCAAACUAAGCUUCAUCUCUGUGCUGUUAUGGUUCUCACCUGCGAAAAACACUUUUCCAGGGGGCAUUAUAAGAGCAUUAAUGGAGAGCAGCAGCAUCUGAAUGUUUUCUACAGGCAGCAGCUCAGAAAUCUCCAAUCUUACAUCUCCCUGGCUUCUUCCCAUCAAGACAGGGAGUUCUCCCGGACAGAUUAUUUUUGCCUGUACAUUUUCUCAGCUAAGUUUGCAAACGAGCAGGUCUUUUUAAGCUCACUGUGCAGUAUGUAUCAUUGCCUGGGCACUGUAAUUUAUAUCCUCUAGAUCUCAUUUCCAAAUCCCACAUUUUCUGAAACAAACCCAUUUUCUGUCCACAGCCAAAAUGGAAGCUGUAUCAGGGAGCUUUGGAAAGAUUUACCUCGUACCCUUUAUGCUCCUCUGUAAAGCCAUUGUCUUCAGCAGACAUUUUGCUGAUGCUAAGGGCGGAAGGGUACUCUGAGCUGACAGACUGUGCGUUAUUGCAAUCAUAAACUACUCUCAAAAAAGCAUUCUUUGGGGUUUGCACAUUUUCUUCCCCUGUCUGGGCAGAAGGACCCAGUGAAAGUGUAGUAUCAGCAGCGAUGUGUUCCCUACUCUCGGGGGAGCUUUUUCUUUAUGUAUUUAUUUCUGCUAAAGUGACCAAAUUCCAAGUGUCCAUUAAAACACCAGGACACCAGAAGCAACACUCCCUCUAGAACAGCUUAUUGGGCGAGUGAUGUCAGGGCAGCAAGUCUUUGGACAAGCCUGCAGAAAAAAAAAUAAGAUUUAUCCCUCGUGGAAUGUAAGAGAAUUACCUGAUUGCUCUGGUGUCUAGAGAGCUAUUUUUGGAACUAUAAACUUUAUUUCUAUUGUGAUCCUCUGAAGUCUCUGCUAUUUGCUCUGUGCGCCCUGUUUCUAUGGGAAGCAGCAGGUGGAGGUUGGCUCGGCACGAGGCAGCUCAGCCCCAGCUCCACGCUCACCCAUCCUUGGAAGGGGCCAGGCUCUUGU